rnacentral:rRNA from 1 species
UGGGGAAUAUUGCACAAUGGGGGAAACCCGUGAUGCAGCGACGCCGCGUGAAGGAAGAAGUAUCUCGGUAUGUAAACUUCUAUCAGCAGGGAAGAUAGUGACGGUACCUGACUAAGAAGCCCCGGCUAAUUACGUGCC